UCUCUGAUUCCAGAGAUCUGCAGAUGUCCUUCCAAUACCACUAGCACUGAGAAAAAGUUGUCAAAGUUCCUUCUUCAUACAGGCCUGAGUUUGCAGGAAAAACAUGCUGCCAGGGAUGGAAGUUGCUAGGGGCCAGAUGACCUCCUGGGAAUGUGGGGGCCAACUGAGACUUGAAGCAUCCUGAGUGAAGUGGGCACUAAGUUCUGAGGAUCCUGCUUCUAGUCAUCACUGUGGAAAGCAGCUACAUCAGCGAGCACGCUGGCUAAGGACCCUUGUCCUCUAGCAGAGUGAUCUCCUGCUGAGGCAUGGCUGCUACACUCUGGACUAACAACUCCUGACAGCAAGGUGGCUGUGUUAGCUACUCUUUUUGUUUCUAUGCUAAAACGUCAUGAUCAAAGUCAACUUAUAUAGAAGGAUGAGUUUAUUUGGGCUUAUGGUUGCAGAGGAAGAGUUCACAAUGGUGGGGAAGGCAUGGCAGCAGGCAGCAGGAGCAGGAAGCUGCCUGAUUAUAUCCUUCUUAACUACAACAGCAGGAGUUGUUCCACAGACACUACAAGAUGAAGAUCAUGACGUGUAAACCAAACACAGUUCACAGGUCUGUGGUUGAAACAAGGGAAAUCUGCCGCCAGUACAAGCAGAAAUCUUUUGCCACUUUGGGGGCCCUGGCUCCUCUGGAAGCAGGAGUGAAGACUCUCAUUGACCCCCAACUCUGAAGAUGGGACUGGAAGCACAUUUUCUCCAUGGGACCCAGCUUCAGAGGCCAGGAGAGCAGCAAAGAGAGCAACGGGAUCACAGAUAAUCAUUUCAGAAAGAUGAGACAGAUUUGAAAUGGAUCAUUGGAGGUUAUGGUCUGCUCCUGGGAAAUGGACCAACCCUUUCUUCCAAGUACCUUCCUCCCUGCUUCAGUGUCCCCAGGAAGUACUUUCUAGGGUCUCUUUGACAUGUCUCAACUUCAAGCAUCAUCAUUCUUGUCUUGGGUCCACUGUGAACGGUUAUUUGAACAUAAGCACUGUGAUGCAAUGACAUUCUGAUCACCACAAAGGCCACUAAGUGACUAAGGGCGAGUAGCGGACACAGCGUGAAUCCACUGGACACGGGAUGAGUCACAUCCUGAGUGAGGCAGCAUGGCGUGGGAUUUCGCCACCCUGCUCAGAGUGGUACACCCGUUCAGAGCAUGAAUUGCUAAUUCUGCAUCUUUUCCGUUCGCUGCCUCCACUUGUGAUUGAUCAAGAGUAUAAGACCAUGGGCACUGAGACUGCACAGAAGGGACCUAUUCUUCUCAAAGGGAGAGAAUGAAGACUCUAUUGGGUUGGGCAAGAGACUUACUAGAUGGAAUUUUACAGCCACCAAAUCAAGGCUAGAGGGGUCAAUCAGUGCCACUUAAGUGGAUGUCUCAGUGCCCAAGAGUCUACACAGGCCCUCCUCAGCCUCACAGGGGCUGCUCUACGGCUUUGGAUCAGCUCCUCUUCUGAACUUGGAAACAGAAUAAGGCACCACUGCAGAGUGAUUGGAAAGCCGAUGUUCUUUGCCCUUUCCCAGCACUUCUGGGAAAAGCUGGCCAGCUUCUAUAUAGUGCAUCUGCAACAGAUCAGACCCACUCUUUCCAAGCCAAUUCUAGAUAAUCUCUUUUCUUGUUUUGUCUGUCUUCUUCACCACGGCCCUCUCCAUACUGGUUACACCUUCAGCCUUGAGAAAAGCAAAGUGAAGCCACGAACAGCCAGGAUUCGGAGGAGGUGGCCUUUGCCCUUCCCCCUUGCCCUGAGCCUGCCUUCUCUCCUUGCCCUCAAGACAGGGAGAGAGGAUGGCUGGGUGGUGGCCAGGCAUGAGACAAAGUUGAUGACUUUCAGCUCAACCUCAUAAUGAGGCAAUCUUUAGGAAUCCAGAACCUUCUUGCUUGCAGAUAUCUAAAUAAACAAGCGGCAGUACCUCCUUGA